GCGUGAGUGAUGAAGGCCCUAGGGUUGUAAAGCUCUUUUACCAGGGAUGAUAAUGACAGUACCUGGAGAAUAAGCUCCGGCUAACUCCGUGCCAGCAGCCGCGGUAAUACGGAGGGAGCUAGCGUUGUUCGGAAUUACUGGGCGUAAAGCGCGCGUAGGCGGCGAACUAAGUCAGAGGUGAAAUCCCGGGGCUCAACCCCGGAACUGCCUUUGAAACUGGUUUGCUAGAAUCUUGGAGAGGCGAGUGGAAUUCCGAGUGUAGAGGUGAAAUUCGU
rnacentral:rRNA from 1 species